rnacentral:rRNA from 1 species
UACGGGAGGCAGCAGUGGGGAAUAUUGGACAAUGGGGGAAACCCUGAUCCAGCAAUGCCGCGUGUGUGAAGAAGGCCUUCGGGUUGUAAAGCACUUUCAGUGGGGAGGAAGGGGUGUUAGUUAAUACCUAACAUCAUUGACGUUACCUACAGAAGAAGCACCGGCUAACUCUGUGCCAGCAGCCGCGGUAAUACAGAGGGUGCGAGCGUUAAUCGGAAUUACUGGGCGUAAAGCGUGUGUAGGUGGUUAGAUAAGUUAGAUGUGAAAUCCCCGGGCUUAACCUGGGCACUGCGUUUAAGACUGUUUAACUAGAGUGCUGUAGAGGAUAGUGGAAUUUCCAGUGUAGCGGUGAAAUGCGUAGAUAUUGGAAGGAACACCAGUGGCGAAGGCGACUAUCUGGACAGACACUGACACUGAGACACGAAAGCGUGGGGAGCAAACAGGAUUAGAUACCCUGGUAGUCCAUGCUGUAAACUAUGAGAACUUGCUGUUGGGUGCAUAAAGGCAUUUAGUAGCGAAGCUAACGCGUUAAGU